rnacentral:rRNA from 1 species
UAGAGUUUGAUCCUGGCUCAGAAUGAACGCUGGCGGCGUGCUUAACACAUGCAAGUCGAACGAUGAAGCCUAGCUUGCUAGGUGGAUUAGUGGCGCACGGGUGAGUAAUAUAUAGAUAACGUGCCUCUUAGUCUGGGAUAGCCAUUGGAAACGAUGAUUAAUACUAGAUACUCCUUCUCUUUAUAAUGAGAGUUGGGAAAGUUUUUCGCUAAGAGAUCGGUCUAUAUCCCAUCAGCUUGUUGGUAGUGUAAGAGACUACCAAGGCUAUGACGGGUAGCGGGUUUGAGAGGAUGAUCCGCCACACUGGUACUGAGACACGGACCAGACUCCUACGGGAGGCAGCAGUGAGGAAUAUUGCACAAUGGAGGAAACUCUGAUGCAGCAACGCCGCGUGGAGGAUGACGCAUUUCGGUGUGUAAACUCCUUUUAUGAGUCAAGAAAAUGACGGUAGCUCAUGAAUAAGCACCGGCUAACUCCGUGCCAGCAGCCGCGGUAAUACGGAGGGUGCAAGCGUUAUUCGGAAUCACUGGGCGUAAAGGACGCGUAGGCGGGAAGCCAAGUCUGAUGUGAAAUCCUAUGGCUCAACCAUAGAACUGCAUUGGAAACUGGUUACCUAGAGUAUGGGAGGGGGAGAUGGAAUUAGUGGUGUAGGGGUAAAAUCCGUAGAUAUCACUAGGAAUACCGAAAGCGAAGGCGAUCUCCUGGAACAAUACUGACGCUAAGGCGUGAAAGCGUGGGGAGCAAACGGGAUUAGAUACCCUGGUAGUCCACGCCGUAAACGAUGACAACUAGCCGUUGGGAGGGUUUACCUCUUAGUGGCGAAGCUAACGCGUUAAGUUGUCCGCCUGGGGAGUACGGCCGCAAGGUUAAAACUCAAAGGAAUUGACGGGGACCCGCACAAGCGGUGGAGCAUGUGGUUUAAUUCGAUGCAACGCGAAGAACCUUACCUGGUCUUGACAUACACGGAACUUUCCAGAGAUGGAUUGGUGCCUUCGGGAACCGUGAUACAGGUGCUGCAUGGCUGUCGUCAGCUCGUGUCGUGAGAUGUUGGGUUAAGUCCCGUAACGAGCGCAACCCUUAUCCUUAUUUGCCAGCACAUCAUGGUGGGAACUAUAAGGAGACUGCCGGUGAUAAACCGGAGGAAGGCGGGGACGACGUCAAGUCAUCAUGGCCCUUACGACCAGGGCUACACACGUGCUACAAUGGGAAGGACAAAGGGUUGCUAAGCCGCGAGGUGGUGCUAAUCUCAUAAACCUUUUCGUAGUCCGGAUCGGAGUCUGCAACUCGACUCCGUGAAGUCGGAAUCGCUAGUAAUCGUAGAUCAGAAUGCUACGGUGAAUACGUUCCCGGNUCUUGUACACACCGCCCGUCAUACCAUGGGAGUGGGUUGCACCAGAAGUGGCUAGUCUAACUGUUUACAGGGGACGGUCACCACGGUGUGAUUCAUGACUGGGGUAAAGUCGUAACAAGGUAACCA